rnacentral:tRNA from 1 species
GGGGAUAUAGUAUAGUCUGGUUAAUAUUCAAGGUUUGGGACUUUGCGACCCAGGUUCAAAUCCUGGUAUCCCCA